AUCUAGCUGACUAGUCCCGAAUAGGACGAAACGCGCGUUCUGAAU
rnacentral:hammerhead_ribozyme from 1 species